CACAAAAUUGUAUUAUGACAAUUUUUUGACAAUAAAAGAAUCUGAGAAAGUUUGCAAGCAAUGAACUGCGCAACAGCGAUAAUUCUCCACCUUAGAACAGUGUCAUGUUACAUAAUCCUGUAGAGAAAGAACCAGCUUCCUGCGUCCAACCAGUGAACAGAAACCUGGUCUUCUCUCUCUCUGGUUCUUCUUGUCACUGUAUCCUCUCUCUCUCUCUCUCUCUCUCUCUCUC
rnacentral:lncRNA from 1 species